GACGAACGCUGGCGGCGUGCUUAACACAUGCCAGUCGAACGGAAAGGCCCCUUUGGGGGUCCUCGAGUGGCGAACGGGUGAGUAACACGUGAGUAACCUGCCCUUGACUUCGGGAUAACUUCAGGAAACUGGGGCUAAUACCGGAUAGGAAUCCUUGCUUCAUGGUGGGGGUUGGAAAGCUUCGGCGGUUUUGGAUGGACUCGCGGCUUAUCAGCUUGUUGGUGGGGUAGUGGCUUACCAAGGCUUUGACGGGUAGCCGGCCUGAGAGGGCGACCGGCCACAUUGGGACUGAGAGACGGCCCAGACUCCUACGGGAGGCAGAAGUGGGGAAUAUUGCACAAUGGGCGGAAGCCUGAUGCAGCAACGCCGCGGGCGGGAUGACGGCCUUCGGGUUGGAAACCGCUUUCAGCAGGGGAGAAGCUUGUGGUGACGGUACCUGCAGAAGAAGCACCGGCUAACUACGUG
rnacentral:rRNA from 1 species